AUUGAACGCUGGCGGCAUGCCUUACACAUGCAAGUCGAACGGCAGCACGGGUGCUUGCACCUGGUGGCGAGUGGCGAACGGGUGAGUAAUACAUCGGAACGUACCUUAUCGUGGGGGAUAACGCAGCGAAAGCUGUGCUAAUACCGCAUACGCCCUGAGGGGGAAAGCGGGGGAUCGCAAGACCUCGCGCGAUUAGAGCGGCCGAUGCCUGAUUAGCUUGUUGGUGGGGUAAAAGCCCACCAAGGCGACGAUCAGUAGCUGGUCUGAGAGGACGGUCAGCCACAAUGGGACUGAGGCACGGCCCAGACUCCUACGGGGGGCAGCAGUGGGGAAUUUUGGACAAUGGGGGCAACCCUGAUCCAGCAAUGCCGCGUGAGUGAAGAAGGCCUGCGGGUUGUAAAGCUCUUUUGUCAGGGAAGAAACACCGGCUCUAACACAGUCUGGGAAUGACGGUACCUGAAGAAUAAGCACCGGCUAACUACGUGCCAGCAGCCGCCGCGG
rnacentral:rRNA from 1 species